rnacentral:rRNA from 1 species
UUUAAUUGAAGAGUUUGAUCAUGGCUAAGAUUGAACGCUGGCGGCAGGCCUAACACAUGAAAUUCGAGCGGUAAGAGGGGAAGCGUGCUUC